UUUUUUUUGUGGACGGGUUUGGCGGGACGGGUUUGGCAGGACGUUACUUAGUAACAAUUGUAAACUAUAAAAUAAUUUACAAAUUUUAUAUAUAUUAAUUUAAAAAAAUGAAUUGUCUUCGCGGUGUACCGCGGGUUAAAAUCUAGUUAUUAUUAUAAACCUAGCAUGCAUACUUAGCCCUGAUGCAUGUCAUAAGCUUGCU
rnacentral:sRNA from 1 species